rnacentral:rRNA from 1 species
CCAGACUCCUACGGGAGGCAGCAGUGGGGAAUAUUGCACAAUGGGGGAAACCCUGAUGCAGCGACGCCGCGUGAGCGAUGAAGUAUUUCGGUAUGUAAAGCUCUGUCUUCAGGGACGAUAAUGACGGUACCUGAGGAGGGAGCCACGGCUAACUACGUGCCAGCAGCCGCGGUAAUACGUAGGGGGCAAGCGUUAUCCGGAUUUACUGGGUGUAAAGGGAGCGUAGACGGCAGCGCAAGUCUGAAGUGAAAUGCCGGGGCUUAACCCCGGAACUGCUUUGGAAACUGAGCAGCUAGAGUGCAGGAGAGGUAAGUGGAAUUCCUAGUGUAGCGGUGAAAUGCGUAGAUAUUAGGAGGAACACCAGUGGCGAAGGCGGCUUACUGGACUGUAACUGACGUUGAGGCUCGAAAGCGUGGGGAGCAAACAGGAUUAGAUACCCCUGUAAC